rnacentral:lncRNA from 1 species
CUGCCUGGGUCCUGGGAGGAGUCGGAGUUGGAACGGCGAGCGACCGACGCCGUGUCGGACUUACUCGCGUAUCGUGGCCAGCAGUCUCUCACUAGGCAGCCAUGCAGUCACGUCCGCAGCGGAGGAGGCGCAUCGCAUGAUGCGGAGUCGGAGGGAGGCGGCAUGCGAUGGGCGCUGGUGGGGGAGGGGAGGGGGAGCUGCGCCGCCUGUGGGGAAAGCGGAGGGGAAGGGGAGCGACCCACGGUGUGA